CAGGCGUGGAAGCGUCUUUGUGAUGGCUGUCAGGCAGACCUGAGCCAGUUCUGCCGCUGUACACUCCGUGGAUCGUUCAUCCUACUACUGUUUUAUGUCAUGUGACUACGUCUCUUGAACGCUUGGAUUUGGUGGAGCAAGGUGGCCAGGGUGUGGGGCCAGUGCAAGUGAUCUCAGGACUGCUUUGGGCUCCAUAGGACCAGUGAUGAGUGCCGAUGUAAAGGACUGGCUUGUGAGAAAUCCUGAGCCUCCUGUAAGAUCAAGACCAAGAUCAAGAUAGGGCCUUCCGUAGGUCCGCUUUCUGAAGCACAGUGUCAACAUGUCUCCUCUAAUUUAAAACCUUGGAUCAGCAGAGGAGUCGACACCACACAGCUCUGCGCUCUUCCCCUGUGUCUCAGCAACACUGCGCUGACACUGUCUGUCAGAUGAAGGAAGGAGACAGCAAGCGAGGGGUUGAGGCUUCAGGGAGUUUUGACUCGUUAAGCAGGAUGGAUAUAAACCAGCCUCCAGCCAUUCAGCCUCCAGCCACUCAGCCAGCCAGCCAGCCUCUAUCCAGUCAGCCAGCCAGCCAGCCAGCCUCGAGCCAACCAGCCAGCCAUCAACCCAGCCAGCCACCUAUCCAGCCUCAAGGUGUCACGUAGCCUCACGUGACAUGAAGACACUGUUUGGAAUUGCUGUUGGGGAAAGUAGCUGGAGCAGAGAUGCGUAUGCUUGUCUGAUAUUCCACGUGACUGCCGCGUAAGGAGACGAGUCUGGUACGCACGCCCACGCCCACAGCUCUCCUCUCUGCCGCCUGACCGGCGCAGGAACGAGCCACUCAGCCCCUCUUGCCGGCUCCCACAGGCAUCAUCAUUAUUAAGACUCGGAAUUUUUUUGUAUUCGUGGCAUAAAAGACCAUGUUUUUUUUUUCGUUUUUUUUUGUAUUUACGCUCAAUAAAUGACUAAGAUUGCUUGUAAUU